AUUGAACGCUGGCGGCAGGCUUAACACAUGCAAGUCGAGCGAGCGGCGGACGGGUGAGUAAUGUAUGUGAAACGGCCUGAUGGAGGGGGAUAACUACUGGAAACUGUAGCUAAUACCGCAUACCAUCAGAUGUGCCCAGAUGGGAGUGGCUAGUAGGUGGGGUAAUGGCUCACCUAGGCGACGAUCCCUAGCUGGUCUAAGAGGAUGAACAGCCACACUGGAACUGAGACACGGUCCAGACUCCUACGGGAGGCAGCAGUGGGGAAUAUUGGACAAUGGGCGAAAGCCUGAUGCAGCCAUGCCGCGUGUGUGAAGAAGGCCUUCGGGUUGUAAAGCACUUUAAGCGGGGAGGCGUUACUCGCAGAAGAAGCACCGGCUAACUCCGUGCCAGCAGCCGCGGUAAUAC
rnacentral:rRNA from 1 species